rnacentral:rRNA from 1 species
AUGAAGGCAUUCAGCGAGGAUGAUUCUACAAACUUAUUGCUGCAAUCAUUUCGGGCAGCUGCAGGUGUGCGAGAUAUUCCUGGCAUUAUUGCUAAACUUCUAAGAAUUUGUGAUGGCUUGCCACUGGCCAUUAUUGUUGCAGCCGGUUCAGUAUACAAGAAAUCUAAAGAACUGGCAGAUGAGCUUGCGAUGUCAAUGAUUUCAUCACAGGAGCAAUGCUAUACGUCAGUAGGGGUGACCAAGAUACUGCACAUGAGUUUUGCUGUUCUGUCCCUGCCGAUAAAGUCUUGCUUUCUGUACUUCAGUGUUUUUCCAGAAAAUGACAUCAUACAGAAGAAUCGUCUGAUACGGUUGUGGGGAGCUGAAGGACUUAUCCGCGGAGAAGAUGAAGGGGAGAGCUUCUUCAACGAGCUUAUAUGUAGGAAUCUGAUUAAGCCGGUGUUUAACUAUGAUGAUGCCGAACCAAUGGGUUGCAGCAUUCAUGGUGUGGUACUUGAUUUCAUCCGCUCUUUGUCCAAGGAAGAUAACUUUGUUACAGUUGGUGCAGAUCUUGGUUCAGGUAUAUUUCCAUGUAGCAUAAAUACAGUUCGGCGAUUCUCGAUGGAUAACAGCGAUGAAGAACACAUAUUGACCUCAAGAACGGUGCACCUAUUAGGCAUGCGCUCUCUCACUGUUAUUGGAGACACUGAAGAGAGGGCUGGUCAUUCGGCCUUCGCAGUUUCUUGGAGUACUGAAGGCAAGCCUGUCCUUGCGGGCUUCAAACUUAUACGUGUACUCGAUCUGGAAAAUGCUGUUAAUCUGGAGAGCCAACAUCUGGAAGGUAUAGAAGGGUUGCUUCUGCUGAAAUACCUGGGACUCAAAGGGACUGGUAUCUAUAAAUUACCUGAAAGGAUUGGAGAACUGGAGCAGUUGGAGACGCUAGAUGUGAGGCAGACCAAGCUGAGUGCUCUGCCUGCAUCUAUAGUUGGACUGCAAAGGUUGGUGCGUCUUCUAGUUGACGGUGCUGUGAAGCUGCGGAACAAUCUCCAUGUAAUGGAAGGGCUGGAAGAAGUAUCAACCAUUGGUAUCGACAGCAUCAGCUCACUCCAUACGGUGGUAGAUAUGCUGAAGCCUCGGUCGCAGUCCGGGCGGUCACGGCGGCUGAAGGUCCUUGGUGUAAGCUUUGCAGGAUUCCCGCCAUAUUCUGCUGAAAGUUCAAGGGAAAUCAGAUCUUUCUUCAUAGAGGUUGCAAACUAUUACCACGGGUCAUUCUAUCUUCAUCAUCUUCAUGGUGACUUUGUUAAAUGUAUGUGUUACUUCCGUCAAUAUCAGUUCAGGAAACUCGAGUUGACACUUUCUGGUCCAGUUUUAGCAGGAGUUGUAGAUAAGAUUACCUCCAAUGUCAACCACUUGAACAUUGAAGUUACUCAACUGAGCCAGAGAAGUGUCCGUCUACUCGGGGACCUGCCCCAUCUAGUGCUGCUCAAAUUAGUGUCAGCAGAAAAGGACACCCUCUCAACUUUCAUAAACGGAAUAGGAAGAGGAGGAGGAGGAGGAGGAGGAGGAGGAAGAAGAAGGUACAUCAUCGCUGGUGGAUGGAAUGCCUUUCCGCGUCUUAAGGUGUUCUGCUUCACUUGCAAAGCUGGGGCGAGGGGGCUGCAGUUCGGAUCAGGGGCUAUGCCGCAGCUCAGGAGGCUUCGGCUCAGCUUCAGCGCACGGGACACAGAGUUUCGU